CCAAACUUGGUCAUUUAGAGGAAGUAAAAGUCGUAACAAGGUAACCGUAGGUGAACCUGCGGUUGGAUCAUUACCGAACAUUUUGAUAAUGGAGGAGAGGCCGAGGAGAGAGGAAAGAGGGGGGAGGCCCGGGGCCCCAGGUCUUGUGCUUGGGAUUACUACCCGGCUGUUCCCGCUUGGAACGACAAACCAUCCUCCUCUGUUUCUGGGUAUCCUAGGCGCUUUCUCUUGAGAUGUGUCUGCGGCAGAUGGGAGACGAGAAACGGGUGCGGCCUUCGGCUGUGGUAACGUGCCUCGGCUCGCCCCUUUUGCCGCUGAAGACUGCGCGUUCCCUCUUAUGGGGCAGCGGUUGUCUUAAUCCUUUCCAAGGGAAAGACCCUCUCUUCUUCCGUGUGGAGAAGAGGAAAUGACGUGAUUGUUGCAAAACAAGCUAAAAACAAAGAACAACUUUUGACAACGGAUCUCUUGGCUCUCGCAUCGAUGAAGAACGCAGC
rnacentral:misc_RNA from 1 species